UUAAAGUUCUUUACUAGAGGCUUAUUUUCAUUACAUUUAAGCUUUACUUUCCUCACAAGCAGCACCUCCCAGCCUCACAUGUGAUAUCAACAAAGAUCAAUAAAAGAGGUUAUCUUUAGCCACAGACACACAAAGCCUCCCAAUCAGCAGCAGGAGUCUCAUUCCCCUCACCUGUAGACUUGCAGGCCCCAGAUGCACCUCACCAUCAGCCAAGCUCUUAAAGGGAGGGGAAGGGUGGAGAACGUCAGACCCUCCGAGUUUCAAUCCCUGCUUUGCCACUCGCGAGUUGUGAGAUCUUGGGUAUUUUUAAACUUGGAGAGAAGAAGUGAUGCAUGACAACUGUAUCAGAUCCCUUGGCUCAUCUAUUUUAACAUGCUGCAUUACCGAAGCGCCGCAGGCUGACUGCCCUCUUCCAGACUCACGCUUGCUGACACCUGCUGCAUUUCCAAGGCACCUCGGCGGCGGCGAGAGGCUUCCGUGCUCACCCGCACAGGUGAACCCAAGGCGCUUUCCUUCAGUCUGUUUCGGCUUUGGUCGGGGAGAAGAGUUGGCUGUUGCCACUGCCAGAGAUGCUUCUAGACACACUGCAGGGAUUCUUUUUAGGGUACGUGCCACCCUAAUGAGAGGUACCAUGGGCUGAACGGGGUGUGAGGACCUGUCUGACGCCGAGAGCGCUGCACGGAGUGUGGAGCCAGGGCUCUGCAGGAUCUGCUUUUGUUAACCGUGACCCUGGAAGAGGGCUCUGGAGCGCACCCAGCACUAAGCAGCACGAGCACUCUGUGCUUAGAACCAGCCAAGGACAAGUGCACAGACUUGCUCUUGGGAACUGUUCGUUCACGGUCGAGCGUGGUCUCUGAACCGCCGCAUCUGAAGGCCUCUUCUAGGCCCUCUUCCCCGGGGACCACAGCGUCUGAACCCUCGGUCCUCCUUUCCCAAGGGUUCUCCUCCUCGGCUUCCCGCUCGCUCGCUGUCACCGUCCCCCU